AAACUUAUUUAAAGGCAGCAGUAAGGAAUAUUGGGCAAUGAGCGAAGGCUUGACCCAGCUAAAUCAUAUGUGUGAAUAAAGCUUCGCUAUAAAACACAAAAGUAAUCAAAUAAUGAUAAAGUUACAAAAUUAGCCCUGGCUAAUUUUCGUGCCAGCAGCCGCGGUAAAACGAGAAGGGCUGACGUUAUUCGAAUUUAUUGGGCGUAAAGCAUACGUAGGUUGAAAAUUAACUUUUAGUUGAAAGCUUAAAUUUUAUGUUUAAACUAGCUAAAAAAGUAAUCUUCUUGAGUUUAAUUAAAGAUUACAGAAUUCUAAAUGUAACGGUAAAAUGUAUUGAUAUUUAGAAGAAUCUCAAUAGCGAAAGCAGAAAUCUAACUUAAAACUGACACUGAGGUAUUAAAGCAUGGGUAGCAAAAGGGAUUAGAUACCCCUGUAGUCCAUGCCCUG
rnacentral:rRNA from 1 species